rnacentral:rRNA from 1 species
UGCCAGCAGCCGCGGUAAUACGGAGGGUGCAAGCGUUGUUCGGAGUCACUGGGCAUAAAGAGCACGUAGGCGGUCUACUAAGUCAAAUGUGAAAUCCCUCGGCUCAACCGGGGAACUGCAUGUGAUACUGGUGGACUAGAGGACGGUAGGGGUGAGUGGAACUCCAGGUGGAGCGGUGAAAUGCGUAGAUAUCUGGAGGAACACCUGUGGCGAAAGCGGCUCACUGGACCGUCUCUGACGCUGAGGUGCGAAAGCUAGGGUAGCGAACGGGAUUAGAUA